rnacentral:lncRNA from 1 species
AAUUUAGCCAAAAUAAUGGAAGCAAGAACCUAUAUUACAUUGGCAAAGAAAAAUCAGUGAUCUAGAUAUAUAAAAAUGAAAAACUUCUCCUCGUGAGCAUCCCACAUGAGCUGGCCUCAUAAUAGUUGGCAUUCUUAUUCUCAUCAUUAGAAGAAACAAUAUGUAGGUUAAUUCUGCAAUAAUUUGUUUGCUUUGCAGAUAUUGUAGCUUUCUUAGCACGUAAGUUAUUUCCACUAUGUCAAGCAGCGGC